CCCUUAGAUGUCCUGGGCCGCACGCGCGUUACACUGAUGCAUUCAACGAGCUUAUAACCUUGGCCGAGAGGCCUGGGCAAUCUUGUUAACGUGCAUCGUGAUAGGGAUAGAUUAUUGAAAUUAUUAAUCUUGAACGAGGAAUUCCUAGUAAACGCAAGUCAUCAGCUUGCAUUGAUUACGUCCCUGCCCUUUGUACACACCGCCCGUCGCACCUACCGAUUGAAUGGUCCGGUGAAAUCUUCGGAUCUGAGAGAUGUCUGAUUAAUUUCGGACGCCUUUUGGAAAAGUUGCUUAAACCUUACCAUUUAGAGGAAGGUGAAGUCGUAACA
rnacentral:rRNA from 1 species